UACGGAGGGGGCUAGCGUUGUUCGGAAUUACUGGGCGUAAAGCGCGCGCAGGCGGUUCUUCAAGUCAGUGGUGAAAGCCCGGAGCUCAACUCCGGAAUUGCCAUUGAAACUGUGGAACUUGAGGAUGAGAGAGGUGAGUGGAAUUCCCAGUGUAGAGGUGAAAUUCGUAGAUAUUGGGAAGAACACCGGUGGCGAAGGCGGCUCACUGGCUCAUUUCUGACGCUCAGGCGCGACAGCGUGGGGAUCAAACAGG
rnacentral:rRNA from 1 species